UGGGGAAUAUUGCACAAUGGGCGCAAGCCUGAUGCAGCAACGCCGCGUGAGGGACGACGGCCUUCGGGUUGUAAACCUCUUUUGGCAGGGAAGAAGCGAAAGUGACGGUACCUGCAGAAAAAGCACCGGCUAACUACGUGCCAGCAGCCGCGGUGAUACGUAGGGUGCAAGCGUUGUCCGGAAUUAUUGGGCGUAAAGAGCUCGUAGGCGGUUUGUCGCGUCUGCUGUGAAAACCCGAGGCUCAACCUCGGGCCUGCAGUGGGUACGGGCAAACUAAAGUGCGGUAGGGGAGAUUGGAAUUCCUGGUGUAGCGGUGGAAUGCGCAGAUAUCAGGAGGAACACCGAUGGCGAAGGCAGAUCUCUGGGCCGUAACUGACGCUGAGGAGCGAAAGCAUGGGGAGCGAACA
rnacentral:rRNA from 1 species